AAGUCGUAACAAGGUUUCCGUAGGUGAACCUGCGGAAGGAUCAUUACAGAGUUCAUGCCCGAAAGGGUAGACCUCCCACCCUUGUGUAUUAUUACUUUGUUGCUUUGGCGAGCUGCUCUUCGGGGCAUUGUAUGCUCGCCAGAGAAUAUCAAAACUCUUUUUAUUAAUGUCGUCUGAGUACUAUAUAAUAGUUAAAACUUUCAACAACGGAUCUCUUGGUUCUG
rnacentral:misc_RNA from 1 species